rnacentral:rRNA from 1 species
AGCAGUUUGAUCAUGGCUCAGGACGAACGCUGGCGGCGUGCUUAACACAUGCAAGUCGAGCGGAAAGGCCCUUCGGGGUACUCGAGCGGCGAACGGGUGAGUAACACGUGAGUAACCUGCCCUGGACUUUGGGAUAACCCUCGGAAACGGGGGCUAAUACCGGAUAUGACUUGCCCUCGCAUGGGGGUGGGUGGAAAGUUUUUCGGUCUGGGAUGGGCUCGCGGCCUAUCAGCUUGUUGGUGGGGUGAUGGCCUACCAAGGCGACGACGGGUAGCCGGCCUGAGAGG